CGUCAUAUUAAGCUAUGUGGAUUUAGACUGGGAUAGCACUUAAAUCAGAUGUGAGUCAAGGCAGGUGAGCAAAUACCUUUGGCAAAAUAGUGUAUAUUCAACACAUUUAAAGGCAAACAUGUAUCUAGUUUGUUUAGAAAUGUUGUCAGCCAACAUUGUUUUGUGAUGCUGAUCAGUCAUAAAAGACAAAUGGCGAUAUUUGGUCAGACGCAAGGUAACACUUAGUUCAGCUUAGCUUGGUUAAGCGUACAAUGGAACUGACUGGGAAGUUAAUAUAACCCAAUCAGGGUUUCAUGCAAACAAAGUGCAACACAAAUUUAAGCUGACAGUUAAGAAUUGAUCAAGUACUCAUUUAUUUAAUUAAGACACACAUACUCAACAAACUACAGGUGGCGCAAUGCAUGCUUGGAACUGAAGUUAAUGUGAGAUGCUGCCAAGUUCUCGAAGUACAGCAAAAACAGCAAUUUUUGUCUUCAUGAGAACCAUUGAUAAUUUGUUUCAAGUGCAUGAGGAGUCACUCAAAUUUCUGUCCUCCAAAAUCAUGGCUAUAUUUAACAUCUUUAAUAGUGUUGCAAACGUGUAUUGGACAAUUAAGCGCAGGACGGGCUCCUUCAACAAAGCAGAGUGAACUGCCCUUCACUGCAAAGUGAGGAGGCUGAAUAAUUUGGGGAUUUUGAAUGACAAAUAUAGUAUCCAUCCAUCCAGCCAUUUUUGAUAUCAUUUUGAUGAUUUUUGUUGGUUGGCUGUUAAAUCCUCACAAUAGUUUUUCAAAGAGAAGUCACUUUUGGGCAGAUCACGUGAGUGAGUGUAUGGUCUACCAUGACUGCCCUGCACUGGCGUCAACAUGGCUGUACUACUGAUUUUAUAUUUUUUUCUUGAUUUUGAAUGUGAUAAAGUACCUGAUAGCGUUCUGUCAACAAUGUUCUCUCCAAACGCGAGACAGUGUUUCGGAGCAAAGAUAUGGUGUUAUAUGUGACCAUUCAGUCUCAGUGAUAUUUAGCGCGAGUUCUCUUUCCCUGCUCUAUUUAAGAGUGUUCCCCUUUCCGUCCGUUACAUUACAUCACGUGGUACGGUAUGGCUAGUUCAGUCCCCCUUGAUUUGGAGACACCCAUUACAGUUAGAAUAAUCCCGUGUCUCUCUAGGUCACGGGUGUCAAACGCCAGGCCCAGCCGGGGGCCACAUCAUUUCAUGUGACGCGUGAAAACAAAUCAUUUGCAUCAACUUCCAUAAUUCCGCCACCCGAGUGAGGAUAAGCAGUAUGGAAAGUGGAUGAAAAUGCAAUUAUACCUUUUGGGAUCCACUGUAGGAAUCACUUAUCAAGACUGUUAGGGAUAUAAUAGGCUAUCCAACGCAGCAGGCAAAGAUUGUUCUCUGAUUUGAGUUUCCGAAUUAAAGUUAACCACAGCUGCGAGGUAAAUCAGGUCACACUAGCUACACUAAAUAAAAAUAGAAAUCAAAGGCCCAAUCUCAAAUAUUCUACACAAUUCUGUUUAAAUCUGUACUAGAGAGCACUUCUCCUUUGCCGAGAUAAUCCAUCCACUUCACAGGUUUGGCAGAUCAAGAUUCUGACGAGACUGCCUGAUUGGAGCACAGGUGUGCCUUAUGCCUCCCACCAUAAACGGCCACUGUAAAAUGUAUUGUGGUGGGGUGAGGGUCUGAAAAGCAGUCAGUCUACAGUCUCAGUCUAGUCCAGCGUCAUGACGACCUUCUCCCUCAGGGUUUUGCAAAGCUCAGCGAGCGGCUGUUUUUCUUCUUCGUGAUCCGCCAGAGUUCUUGACGCUGUUUGUGAAUCUGGGUGGCUCUACGCUUCAUUGUGUAGUUGGUCUUUAUGUUCCUGUUCUCAACUGGGAAAAAUCUCUCUACUGCACUUGAUCCAUUUCUGUUGGCUUGUUUGGAGGCUCAAAUGACUUCAUGGACUGGGGUCUGCGUUGUGAAUCCUGGCCAGGCUCCUCCUGCUUCUCACCAGGAUCAGAUCGUGUGCGUUGCCAACCAUUUGAGAUACAGGUUGGGGUUCCAGCCUUAAGCCGAAAACAAUCUUCUGUCUGCCACCACAUGCCAACUAGUUUGAUGGUUUUUUGGGCGUUUCGUUGUCUCGGUCAAAGGGAUGAUAUCCCCAUCCCCACUAGCCCUUAUGAAAUUUCAAAUAAUACAUCCACAAAAUACAGAGACAUGCACUUGUUGUGUAAAUGAUACCUUGAUGCGAAGCGGUUUAUAAAAAAGGAUCAGAUCCGAUUGUCUUCUUCACACUGCAUUAAGAUGAACAAUCAUCUUUGUUUCCAUUAAUAUUCCUGAAAUUUGCCCAUUGCAGUUGUGAACGCAGCAAACUCCCACUAUUAGCUGCACACUGGAGCAUGGGGCUACGCAGCCUAGUUUCCUCUGUAGCUCUGUCUGUUCACACCUGACAAAGUUGAUAUUUUUUGCUGGUCGAACCGGGGUCCCCCAUAGAGUCAGGCGGCAAUCUGUACCACUUGGUCACAAGCCCACGGCUACCGCUACCUUACUAGACUAUAUGUGAAGGGAAGUUCUCUGCUGUCACCAUUGGCAUAUACAUUAUUAUAUGUAUAUGGUCAAUAUUGUUGAUGUUUUCCUUCCCUUCGCCCAGUGCAUCAGUCCAUUUGUAAUGUUCAAGCCUAAUGCAUUCACACAGGCCAUCCGAGGGGUUUCUCUUCAAACACAGCCUCUCCUGUGUUGGAAACCGAGGAGGUCGACAUUCCUCUCUCAAUGCCUCGAAUACAGACCCAUAUUCUUCAGAGGAGCUUCGCAGGGAGUGCGAGGCUGCACCCUCAAGGUGGACAAUCAGCCUCUUUGUGAUGCCCACUGCUUGCACUGUGGCUUUACCCGGGCAGUCUCUCUGUUUUGCUGCUGGAGCUGUGUGAUGUAGCUACUCUGGAUUACCGCUUAUGGAUACGAACCAAGACACAUUUGCUCUCACUCUGAUCUCUUGGUGGAUUCAAUCUUUUUUUUUUUUUUUUUGGAUUCAAUGGAUUUUAUCCCCUCAGAUCAAUAUUGGGACCUCACAGCACCAUCGGAGAGUGACGAAAACAACAAUAAUCCUCGAUGAGAUCGGACGCCAAUGACGGAGACCAUGUGACCAUGCGGGUCAUGUGACCGUGAGAAACAGGAACUAGGUGGAGGCCGGGCAAAGAACCUUUCCCCCGAACAUCUGGACCGGGACCGAGCGGCGGCGGCGGCGUAGCGGGUGUCAACAUCUGCGUGCCGGGGAGUGCCGAGUGAAAUCAGACACGAACAGUAUUUGGCAUCUUCAUACAAACGGCUACGGGAUCGAUAAAGGAAAAGCAAAGCUCCACUCAGCCGUCAAGCAAAGGUGUGUGCAGCGCACUGUUAAAACCGAAGACAAAUACAGUACGUCGUUCCGAUGCCAGGUUAGAAGCCGAACGUCAUUGAGCGUAGCUGUUUCGAGCCCAUUCGGGGACCCCGAACAUGAACCCCCGAAAGUUCUAAACCAGGCUAUGUAGCACGCUUCUUACAGUAACUUCAAGCACCCAAUACGUUUUCAAAAAAGUUACAAAGUUCUUCCUCAUGUUU